UAGAGUUUUUCAAACUCCUAAACCCAUGUGAACUUACCAUUGUUGCCUCGGCAGAACCUACCCGGUACCCACCCUGGAGCGAGCUACCCUGUAGCUACCCGGGAACGGACUACCCUGUAACGUCCUGCCGGUGGACAUUUUAAACUCUUGUUAUUAUAAAAGUAAUCUGAGCGUCUUAUUUUAAUAAGUCA
rnacentral:misc_RNA from 1 species